GGCAACCCUGCUUCGUAGGUGACCUGCGGAAGGAUCAUUACCUAGAGUUGUAGGCUUUGCCUGCUAUCUCUUACCCAUGUCUUUUAAGUACCUUACGUUUCCUCGGCGGGUCCGCCCGCCGAUUGGACAAUUUAAACCAUUUGCAGUUGCAAUCAGCGUCUGAAAAAACUUAAUAGUUACAACUUUCAACAACGGAUCUCUUGGUUCUGGCAUCGAUGAAGAACGCAGCGAAAUGCGAUAAGUAGUGUGAAUUGCAGAAUUCAGUGAAUCAUCGAAUCUUUGAACGCACAUUGCGCCCCUUGGUAUUCCAUGGGGCAUGCCUGUUCGAGCGUCAUUUGUACCUUCAAGCUCUGCUUGGUGUUGGGUGUUUGUCUCGCCUCUGCGUGUAGACUCGCCUCAAAACAAUUGGCAGCCGGCGUAUUGAUUUCGGAGCGCAGUACAUCUCGCGCUUUGCACUCAUAACGACGACGUCCAAAAGUACAUUUUUACACUCUUGACCUCGGAUCAGGUAGGGAUACCCGCUGAACUUAAGCAUAUCAAUAAGCGGAGGAAA
rnacentral:rRNA from 1 species